AGGACGAACGCUGGCGGCGUGCCUAACACAUGCAAGUCGAACGAGGCCACUCCUUCGGGAGUGAGUCGAGUGGCGGACGGGUGAGUAACACGUGAGCAAUCUACCCUUGUGCGGGGGAUAACCCGGGGAAACCCGGGCUAAUACCGCAUGGUCAAGAGAUCCGAUGGGUCUUUUGGGAAACGUGGCCUCUUUA
rnacentral:rRNA from 1 species